rnacentral:rRNA from 1 species
UUUGGUUAAGUUAGAAAGGGCGCACGGUGGAUGCCUUGACACUAGGAGUCGAUGAAGGACGGGACUAACGCCGAUAUGCUUCGGGGAGCUGUAAGUAAGCUUUGAUCCGAAGAUUUCCGAAUGGGGAAACCCACUAUACGUAAUGGUAUGGUAUCCUUAUCUGAAUACAUAGGGUAAGGAAGACAGACCCAGGAAACUGAAACAUCUAAGUACCUGGAGGAAGAGAAAGCAAAUGCGAUUUCCUGAGUAGCGGCGAGCGAAACGGAACAUAGCCCAAACCAAGAGGCUUGCCUCUUGGGGUUGUAGGACAUUCUAUACGGAGUUACAAAGGAACGAGGUAGACGAAGCGACCUGGAAAGGUCCGUCGUAGAGGGUAACAACCCCGUAGUCGAAACUUCGUUCUCUCUUGAAUGUAUCCUGAGUACGGCGGAACACGUGAAAUUCCGUCGGAAUCUGGGAGGACCAUCUCCCAAGGCUAAAUACUCCCUAGUGAUCGAUAGUGAACCAGUACCGUGAGGGAAAGGUGAAAAGCACCCCGGAAGGGGAGUGAAAGAGAUCCUGAAACCGUGUGCCUACAAAUAGUCAGAGCCCGUUAACGGGUGAUGGCGUGCCUUUUGUAGAAUGAACCGGCGAGUUACGAUCCCGUGCGAGGUUAAGCUGAAGAGGCGGAGCCGCAGCGAAAGCGAGUCUGAAUAGGGCGUUUAGUACGUGGUCGUAGACCCGAAACCAGGUGAUCUACCCAUGUCCAGGGUGAAGUUCAGGUAACACUGAAUGGAGCGCCCGAACCCACGCACGUUGAAAAGUGCGGGGAUGAGGUGUGGGUAGCGGAGAAAUUCCAAUCGAACCUGGAGAUAGCUGGUUCUCCCCGAAAUAGCUUUAGGGCUAGCCUUAAGUGUAAGAGUCUUGGAGGUAGAGCACUGAUUGGACUAGGGGUCCUCAUCGGAUUACCGAAUUCAGUCAAACUCCGAAUGCCAAUGACUUAUCCUUAGGAGUCAGACUGCGAGUGAUAAGAUCCGUAGUCAAAAGGGAAACAGCCCAGACCGCCAGCUAAGGUCCCAAAGUGUGUAUUAAGUGGAAAAGGAUGUGGAGUUGCUUAGACAACUAGGAUGUUGGCUUAGAAGCAGCCACCAUUUAAAGAGUGCGUAAUAGCUCACUAGUCGAGUGACUCUGCGGCCGAAAAUGUACCGGGGCUAAAUACACCACCCGAAGCUGCGGAUUGAUACCGAAUGGUAUCAGUGGUAGGGGAGCGUUCUAAGGACAGUGAAGUCAGACCGGAAGGACUGGUGGAGUGCUUAGAAGUGAGAAUGCCGGUAUGAGUAGCGAAAGACGGGUGAGAAUCCCGUCCACCGAAUGCCUAAGGUUUCCUGAGGAAGGCUCGUCCGCUCAGGGUUAGUCAGGACCUAAGCCGAGGCCGACAGGCGUAGGCGAUGGACAACAGGUUGAUAUUCCUGUACCACCUCUUUUAUCGUUUGAGCAAUGGAGGGACGCAGAAGGAUAGAAGAAGCGUGCGAUUGGUUGUGCACGUCCAAGCAGUUAGGCUGAUAAGUAGGCAAAUCCGCUUAUCGUAAAGGCUGAGCUGUGAUGGGGAAGCUCCUUAUGGAGCGAAGUCUUUGAUUCCCGCUGCCAAGAAAAGCUUCUAGCGAGAUAAAAGGUGCCUGUACCGCAAACCGACACAGGUAGGCGAGGAGAGAAUCCUAAGGUGUGCGAGAGAACUCUGGUUAAGGAACUCGGCAAAAUGACCCCGUAACUUCGGGAGGGGUGCUUUCUUAACGGAAAGCCGCAGUGAAUAGGCCCAAGCGCGACUGUUUAGCAAAAACACAGCUCUCUGCGAAGCCGUAAGGCGAAGUAUAGGGGGUGACACCUGCCCGGUGCUGGAAGGUUAAGGAGAGGGGUUAGCGUAAGCGAAGCUCUGAACUGAAGCCCAGUAAACGGCGGCCGUAACUAUAACGGUCCUAAGGUAGCGAAAUUCCUUGUCGGGUAAGUUCCGACCCGCACGAAAGGUGUAACGAUUUUGGCACUGUCUCAACCAGAGACUCGGUGAAAUUAUAGUACCUGUGAAGAUGCAGGUUACCCGCGACAGGACGGAAAGACCCCGUGGAGCUUUACUGUAGCCUGAUAUUGAAUUUUGGUACAGUUUGUACAGGAUAGGCGGGAGCCUUUGAAACCGGAGCGCUAGCUUCGGUGGAGGCGCUGGUGGAUACCGCCCUGACUGUAUUGAAAUUCUAACCUACGGGUCUUAUCGACCCGGGAGACAGUGUCAGGUGGGCAGUUUGACUGGGGCGGUCGCCUCCUAAAGUGUAACGGAGGCGCCAAAGGUUCCCUCAGAAUGGUUGGAAAUCAUUCGUAGAGUGCAAAGGCAUAAGGGAGCUUGACUGCGAGACCUACAAGUCGAGCAGGGACGAAAGUCGGGCUUAGUGAUCCGUGGUUCCGCAUGGAAGGGCCAUCGCUCAACGGAUAAAAGCUACCCGGGGAUAACAGGCUUAUCUCCCCAAGAGUCCACAUCGACGGGGAGGUUUGGCACCUCGAUGUCGGCUCAUCGCAUCCUGGGGCUGUAGUCGGUCCAAGGGUUGGGCUGUUCGCCCAUUAAAGCGGUACGCGAGCUGGGUUCAGAACGUCGUGAGACAGUUCGGUCCCUAUCCGUCGUGGGCGUAGGAAAUUUGAGAGGAGCUGUCCUUAGUACGAGAGGACCGGGAUGGACGCACCGCUGGUGUACCAGUUGUUCUGCCAAGGGCAUAGCUGGGUAGCUAUGUGCGGAAGGGAUAAGUGCUGAAAGCAUCUAAGCAUGAAGCCCCCCUCAAGAUGAGAUUUCCCAUAGCGUAAGCUAGUAAGAUCCCUGAAAGAUGAUCAGGUUGAUAGGUUCGAGGUGGAAGCAUGGUGACAUGUGGAGCUGACGAAUACUAAUAGAUCGAGGACUUAACCAUAUAA